rnacentral:lncRNA from 1 species
AUUGAUGAGAGUAUUGAUCCUGUUUAAGCCAAACCUUAGGUUCAAGCAAAAUGGGACUAGAUUAUAAUUAUAUUUUUUAACAUUGUGAUGCUGCUGGCCGCCUUAUACAUUAUACAUGUAAUUCAUGGUAAGUUUAAGCCACAUCCAUUUAAGCAUUUUACAGACCACACAAAGCAGAGUGUAGUUGAGGUUUGAAUGCUAUGAGCUGAGUCAAAAUGAUUUAAAGUAGUUUUAUAUUGCAAGUUUUCAAUACUAAUAAUUUUAGAAUAGAGAAAUAGUAGUAGUAGUAGUAAUAAUUACUCUGAUCAACUAAUGUCAAUAUUGCUAAUGUAUUAAUGACAUGCUUAUAUUAUUUUAGGUACAUCUCAUUUGUGAGGCUGUGGAUAAUGGGCAGUGAAGUGCGAUAUGUUUUUGUUAUGUAAAAAACAAGUAAUGGCAACAAACCAUUCAUUCCUCAAUCCAUCGUCAGCGGCAUCACUCCUUCAACCUACACAGUAACUUGAACAUGAUCGAAGGAAUGUGCAGCUUCAGCCUAUCCUUGGGUAUUUAGCACAUCUUACAAUGUUUUUUUUUCUUUCUUUUUUUCGUUCUAUUUGGUUGUGUUGACAUUCAUCAUUUUGAUUUAUUUGUUGUUCAGGA